AACUUCGAGCCCCACCUUUAUCCUCUGACUGUAUUGUUUGUAGAACUUUCGUCUGUCUUCUAGUCAAGAUGAAGUCAUUGCUUCUAGUCCUUUCCCUGUGCAUAUGUUACUCUGUUAGUGGGGAAGAGGCUGAGAGACACAGACAAGAGGUUGAGGGAGUCUUAAACGGGACUUUCACCUUCAGCCCAUACGGUUAUCUCUUCCCAUUGGAUCCAAUUGCUACAUCACUAGUAUUGGUUGGUGUGUUUGGCAUCAUAGGAUUAUUGAGUGUGCUGGUCUAUUGGCCAUUGCCUACACCAAAGGCAUUCAGUGAGAGAGACUAACAGAGUGACAUAUAUGUACAUGUAUGUGUAUUAUUAUCACAGUAUUAUUGGUUGUAUGAAUCAGUAUUAUUGGUUUUAUUAUACUCGGUAUAUAUAUAUAUACUGUUUUUGAAAUCAUUAUGAAAGUAAAAAUGAGA